ACGGAAGUAGGCAGAGCGAGUCGACGUCUCAGUGUAGUUCACUUCAACAUGGCUUUCUCUCAGAGUCUUACUGAAAUGCCCUAAGCUGUAGUGAGCCUUUACUGUGCACUUUAUUCAUCUGGGACCAGACAGAAGAUAGCAUGGAGAUAAAUGAGCUGCUGGUGGAAAAGAAAGAGAGAGAGAGAGAGAGAGAGAGAGAGAGAAACAGAAGAAACUUUGGUGGAAUAUUUAUGCUGACUUUAUCUCAGUCUGUGUGGCAGCCCUUGAAAGUGGAAAAUUAAUGACCUUAAUUCCCAAACUGUUUUGCGGUGAAUGGUGCUCCCCUCCUCGCUCCCAGUGCUCUCUCCUUUGUGUGGUUCCGCCACCAUGCCAACUCCUGGAACUGGAAGAAAAGGAGGACUUAGGGGUGGGAAGGAGGCACAGAUUCUCCUCCUAACGUGACAGCUUCAGACUAACAAUAGCCAAAGAUGAAAGACUGGAGCAGAUGUAGUCACUGGGAGCAUUGCAUCAUGGGACCACAACUCCACUGCACUUUUUUUUUGUCUGUCAUCUUUCCUGAGCACUAAUUUGUCCCAUGAAAAACAGGGGGUCCUGUUGGGACACAGAUAAAAGGCAGUCGAUGAAAGAGAAAUGAGCUUUUAAGAUUUCAGUUUGGAUGCCAGAUUGUGCAUUUAAACCUCCAGAGGCAUAUUGUUUAUUUAUUCAUAAUGAUAGAACACUGUAAGUUCCACUGGAAAUAAAAUAAAAUGAAAUGAAAUAAUAAAUUAAAUAAAAUAAAA